GUGAGGAAUAUUGGACAAUGGAGGAAACUCUGAUCCAGCCAUGCCGCGUGAGUGAUGAAGGCCUUCGGGUUGUAAAGCUCUUUCAGGUGUGAAAAUGAUGAUGGUAACACCAGAAGAAGCCCCGGCUAACUCCGUGCCAGCAGCCGCGGUAAUACGGAGGGGGCGAGCGUUGUUCGGAAUCACUGGGCGUAAAGCGUGCGUAGGCGGUUAUACAAGUCAGGAGUGAAAUCCCAGGGCUCAACCUUGGAAUUGCUUUUGAGACUGUAUGACUAGAGAUCUAGAGAGGUUGGGGGAAUUCCGAGUGUAGAGGUGAAAUUCGCAGAUAUUCGGAGGAACACCAGUGGCGUAGGCGCCCAACUGGCUAGAUACUGACGCUGAGGCACGAAAGCGUGGGGAGCAAACAGGAUUAGAUACCCCAGUAGUCC
rnacentral:rRNA from 1 species